rnacentral:rRNA from 1 species
AUUGAACGCUGGCGGCAGGCUUAACACAUGCAAGUCGAGCGAGCGGCGGACGGGUGAGUAAUGUCUGGGAAACUGCCUGAUGGAGGGGGAUAACUACUGGAAACGGUAGCUAAUACCGCACACCAUCAGAUGUCCCCAGAUGGGAUUCGCUAGUAGGUGGGGUAAUGGCUCACCUAGGCGCCGAUCCCUAGCUGGUCUUAGAGGAUGACCAGCCACACUAGAGCUGAGACACGGUCCAGACUCCUACGAGAGGCACCAGUGGGGAAUAUUGCACAAUGGGCGCAAGCCUGAUGCAGCCGUGCCGCGUGUAUGGAGAAGGCCUUCGGGUUGUAAAGUACUUUCAGUCGGGAGGCGUUACCGACAGAAGAAGCACCGGCUAACUCCGUGCCAGCAGCCGCGGUAAUUC